rnacentral:rRNA from 1 species
GAUGAACGCUGGCGGCGUGCUUAACACAUGCAAGUCGAACGGACUCAUAUUGAAACCUAGUGAUAUAUGAGUUAGUGGCGGACGGGUGAGUAACGCGUGGAGAACCUGCCGUAUACUGGGGGAUAACACUUAGAAAUAGGUGCUAAUACCGCAUAAGCGCACAGCUUCGCAUGAAGCAGUGUGAAAAACUCCGGUGGUAUACGAUGGAUCCGCGUCUGAUUAGCUAGUUGGCGGGGUAAAGGCCCACCAAGGCGACGAUCAGUAGCCGGCCUGAGAGGGUGAACGGCCACAUUGGGACUGAGACACGGCUCAA